rnacentral:sRNA from 1 species
UUCUAACCCCGAUUGGAGCAUUUGUUUGAGCUCAUUUUUGGAGGUUUUCGGGGCGGCGGCAAAGCCACCGCCCCGAAAACCUCCAAAAAUAGCGAGUGCGGAAAGCGGGAAAUAGC